rnacentral:rRNA from 1 species
AUUGACGGGGGCCCGCACAAGCGGUGGAGUAUGUGGUUUAAUUCGAUGCAACGCGAAGAACCUUACCAGGGUUUGACAUCCUGCGAAUCUCUUGGAAACAGGAGAGUGCCUUCGGGAACGCAGUGACAGGUGGUGCAUGGCUGUCGUCAGCUCGUGUCGUGAGAUGUUGGGUUAAGUCCCGCAACGAGCGCAACCCACGUCUUUAGUUGCCAGCAUUUAGUUGGGCACUCUAGAGAGACUGCCGGUGAUAAACCGGAGGAAGGUGUGGAUGACGUCAAGUCAUCAUGCCCCUUACAUCCUGGGCUACACACGUACUACAAUGCUACGGACAAAGGGCAGCAAGUUCGCGAGGACAAGCAAAUCCCAUAAACCGUGGCUCAGUUCAGAUCGUAGGCUGCAACUCGCCUACGUGAANNNGGAAUCGCUAGUAAUCGCAGGUCAGCAUACUGCGGUGAAUACGUUCCCGGGCCUUGUACACACCGCCCGUCACACCAUGGAAGUUGGCCACGCCCGAAGCCGUUACUCCAACCCUUGUGGAGGAGGACGUCGAAGGUGGGGCUGAUGACUGGGGUGAAGNCGUAACAAGGUAACA